GCCGUUUCUUUCGGAGUGCUGAGCUGGAGAAAAUGGUUGACCAGGAUUUAUCACGGUUAUAUCCAGAACAUGGAAGCUACUUCCAGACGCCUGGAUGUCAAGGCUUGCUUAGAAGAAUUUUGUUGUUAUGGUGCCUUCAACAUCCCCAGUUCGGCUAUAGACAAGGAAUGCACGAACUUUUGGCUCCUUUGUUGUAUGUUCUUCAUGUUGAUGU
rnacentral:misc_RNA from 1 species